rnacentral:rRNA from 1 species
AUACGGAGGAUGCGAGCGUUAUCCGGAUUUAUUGGGUUUAAAGGGUGCGUAGGCGGACGAUUAAGUCAGCUGUGAAAUGCCCGCGCUUAACGCGGGAAGUGCAGUUGAUACUGGUUGUCUGGAGUGCCGUUGCCGUGGGGGGAAUGUGUAGUGUAGCGGUGAAAUGCAUAGAUAUUACACAGAACGCCGAUUGUGAAGACACCUGGCGGGGCGGUGACGCAGGCGGAGGCACGAAAGGGUGGGAAACGAACAUGGUUAGAUUCCCAGGUCAUCCACGAAAUGAAGGAUGAUGACUAUCGGUGGGCUUUAGACCGCCGGUGGCCAAGCGAAAGCGAUAAGUCAUCCACCUGGGGAGUACGACCGCAAGGUUGAAACUUAAAGGAAUUGACGGGG